rnacentral:rRNA from 1 species
GACGAACGCUGGCGGCGUGCUUAACACAUGCAAGUCGAACGGAAAGGCCCUGCUUUUGUGGGGUGCUCGAGUGGCGAACGGGUGAGUAACACGUGAGUAACCUGCCCUUGACUUUGGGAUAACUUCAGGAAACUGGGGCUAAUACCGGAUAGGAGCUCCUGCUGCAUGGUGGGGGUUGGAAAGUUUCGGCGGUUGGGGAUGGACUCGCGGCUUAUCAGCUUGUUGGUGGGGUAGUGGCUUACCAAGGCUUUGACGGGUAGCCGGCCUGAGAGGGUGACCGGCCACAUUGGGACUGAGAUACGGCCCGGACUCCUACGGGAGGCAGCAGUGGGGAAUAUUGCACAAUGGGCGGAAGCCUGAUGCAGCAACGCCGCGUGCGGGAUGACGGCCUUCGGGUUGUAAACCGCUUUCGCCUGUGACGAGGCGUGAGUGACGGUAAUGGGUAAAGAAGCACCGGCUAACUACGUG